rnacentral:rRNA from 1 species
AUACGUAGGGGGCGAGCGUUGUCCGGAAUGAUUAGGCGUAAAGGACGCGUAGGCGGCCCGGUAAGUCUGGAGUGACAGUCCUGUUUUUGAGAUGGGACUUGCUUUGUAUACUGUCGGGCUUGAGUGCAGGAGAGGUAAGUGGCAUUCCCAGUUAAGAGGUGAAAUGCGUAGAGAUUGGGAGGAACACCAGUGGCGAAGGCGACUUACUGGACUGUAACUGACGCUGAGGCGCGAAAGUGUGGGGAGCAAACAGGAUUAGAUACCCUGGUAGUCCACACUGUAAACGAUGAAUGCUAGGUGUAGGGGGUAUCGACCCCUUCUGUGCCGCAGUCAACACAAUAAGCAUUCCGCCUGGGGAGUACGGCCGCAAGGCUGAAACUCAAAGGAAUUGACGGGG